ensembl:snRNA
GUGCUCGCUUCGGCAGCACGUAUACUAAAAUUGGAACGAUACAGAGAAGAUUAGCAUGGCCCCUGCACAAGAAUGACAUGCAAAUUUGUGAAGUGUUUUUUUUUUUUUUUUUUUUUUUUUUUU